rnacentral:rRNA from 1 species
GAUGAACGCUGGCGGCGUGCCUAAUACAUGCAAGUCGAGCGAACAGACGAGGAGCUUGCUCCUCUGACGUUAGCGGCGGACGGGUGAGUAACACGUGGAUAACCUACCUAUAAGACUGGGAUAACUUCGGGAAACCGGAGCUAAUACCGGAUAACAUGUUGAACCGCAUGGUUCAACAGUGAAAGACGGUUUUGCUGUCACUUAUAGAAGGAUCCGCGUCGCAUUAGCUAGUUGGUAAGGUAACGGCUUACCAAGGCAACGAUGCGUAGCCGACCUGAGAGGGUGAUCGGCCACACUGGAACUGAGACACGGUCCAGACUCCUACGGGAGGCAGCAGUAGGGAAUCUUCCGCAAUGGGCGAAAGCCUGACGGAGCAACGCCGCGUGAGUGAAGAAGGUCUUCGGAUCGUAAAACUCUGUUAUUAGGGAAGAACAAAUGUGUAAGUAACUAUGCACGUCUUGACGGUACCUAAUCAGAAAGCCACGGCUAACUACGUG